rnacentral:rRNA from 1 species
UGGACGAACGCUGGCGGCGUGCUUAACACAUGCAAGUCGAGCGGAAAGGCCAUUUCGGUGGUACUCGAGCGGCGAACGGGUGAGUAACACGUGAGUAAUCUGCCCCCUGGCUUUGGGAUAGCCACCGGAAACGGUGAUUAAUACCGGAUACGACCCGCCCUCGCAUGGGGGUGUGUGGAAAGUUUUUCGGCCAGGGAUGUGCUCGCGGCCUAUCAGCUUGAUGGUGGGGUAAUGGCUCACCAUGGCUUCGACGGGUAGCCGGCCUGAGAGGGUGACGGUCACGCUGGACUAGAGACACGGCCAGACUCCACGGAGGCAGCAGGUGGGAAUAUUGGACAAUGGGACGGAAGCUGAUCAGCAACGCGCGUGAGGAUGACGGCUCGGUAGUAACCUCGUUCAGUACCGACGAGACGGAAGUGACGGUAGUACGAGAAGAGACACCGCCGAACUACGCCGACCAGCGACGACCGCGGUAAUACGU